GAUGAACGCUGGCGGCAGGUUUGACACAUGCAAGUCGAACGAGAAGCCCGGGGCUUGCCCUGGGUGGAGAGUGGCGAACGGCUGAGUAACACGUAGGAACCUACCCUGAAGACCGGGAUAACGGAUCGAAAGAACCGCUAAUACCGGAUAUAUCCGCAAGGAGGAAAGCUCCGGCGCUUCAGGAGGGGCCUGCGGCGUAUUAGCUUGUUGGUGGGGUAAUGGCUCACCAAGGCGAUGAUACGUAGCUGGUCUGAGAGGAUGAUCAGCCAGACUGGGACUGAGACACGGCCCAGACUCCUACGGGAGGCAGCAGUUCAGAAUCUUGCACAAUGGGCGAAAGCCUGAUGCAGCCAUGCCGCGUGUGCGAGGAAGGCCCUCGGGUCGUAAAGCACUGUCAGGAGGGAAGAACAAUGACGGUACCUCCUAAGGAAGCCACGGCUAAUUACGUG
rnacentral:rRNA from 1 species